AGGCGACAUUCGCUACCAGAGACCGCCGCCUAAAAUUUAACAAGAUUCCUGAUAGGAAAUUCGUUUAUGGACGCGAAAAAAAGAACAAAACGGCCGUCGUUGUAAAACCGAUACGUUUCUCGUUGCGCUCAGAGUGGAAAAUACGAAACCCGCGACCAUUACGCCGGGACGUCCUUUAAAUAGGUAACUUCGCUCGGAGUGAAAUUUAUCA